rnacentral:misc_RNA from 1 species
UUAAGUUCAGCGGGUAUCCCUACCUGAUCCGAGGUCAACCUUAGAAAUGGGGUUGUUUUACGGCGUAGCCUCCCGAACACCCUUUAGCGAAUAGUUUCCACAACGCUUAGGGGACAGAAGACCCAGCCGGACGAUUUGAGGCACGCGGCGGACCGCGUUGCCCAACACCAAGCCGAGGGCUUGAGGGGUGAUAAUGACGC